rnacentral:rRNA from 1 species
GCGUCAUAGAGGGUGAGAAUCCCGUCUUUGGCACGGAAACCCCAGGGCUUUUGUGAUGCGCUCUCGAAGAGUCGAGUUGUUUGGGAAUGCAGCUCAAAAUGGGUGGUGAACUCCAUCUAAAGCUAAAUAUUGGCGAGAGACCGAUAGCGAACAAGUACCGUGAGGGAAAGAUGAAAAGCACUUUGGAAAGAGAGUGAAACAGUACGUGAAAUUGUUGAAAGGGAAACGCUUGAAGUCAGUCGCGUCGACCGAGACUCAGCCUUGCCCUUGGCUUGGUGUACUUCUCGGCUGACGGGUCAGCAUCAAUUUUGCCCCUUGGAUAAUGGCGAGGGAAAUGUGACACCUUUACGGUGUGUUAUAGUCUCUUGUCGCAUGCAAGGGUUGGGAUUGAGGAACUCAGCACGCACCUUGGGUGUCGGGGCUUUGCCCACGAUACGUGCUUAGGAUGUUGGCGUAAUGGCUUUAAACGACCCGUCUUGAAACACGGACCAAGGAGUCUAACAUGCCUGCGAGUGUUCGGGUGGAAAACUCGUGCGCGCAAUGAAAGUGAAAGUUGGGACCUCUGUCGUGGAGGGCACCGACGCCCGGACCAGACCUUCUGUGACGGCUCUGCGGUAAAGCAUGUAUGUUAGGACCCGAAAGAUGGUGAACUAUGCCUGAAUAGGGUGAAGCCAGAGGAAACUCUGGUGGAGGCUCGUAGCGAUUCUGACGUGCAAAUCGAUCGUCAAAUUUGGGUAUAGGGGCGAAAGACUAAUCGAACCAUCUAGUAGCUGGUUCCU